GUAAAUGGAAGCAGCCUCCGGUUCCAGAGCGAUGAGGAGCUGCUCCGGACAGUCGGGGGACACAAGGCCGGCCUGUGGGGGGACAAGAGAGACACCGAGAGAGAAACUGAGAGAACAGAGCAAGAGAGAAACGAGUCAGACAUAUUGGGAAAUGCCUCCAUCAUGCUUCUUCCAAUGUUUGUAGUUAUUGUUUAAUAACGCAACUGCUCCCUGGUUCCUCAAGAUCACAACUCACAAGAUGCAGCUCAGUCAUGAGAAGACACAAAACAAUUGGAGGAAAAGCUGAAGCCGUCUCUGCUCUGUCUGUACUGUUUGACUGACUGGAAUCCAUCCAUCCGUUAUCUAUACCAUUUAUCCUCCGAGGGUUGCGGGUGGAGCUGAAGCCAGUUGCAGCCGGCGGGAGGCGGGGCUCACCCUGGACAGGUCGCCAGCAUAUUGCAACAUCGCCAUACAGAGAGAAACAACCUAAGGACAAUUUGGAGUCCCCAAUUUAUUAAAUCCCAAUCUGCAAACUCCAAGCAGGUGUUCUCUGGGCAAACUGGGAUCCGUACCUGCAACCAACUUGCAGCGAGGCCUUACUGGUAUGCAGCCUCUCUCAUGAACUGUUUGGCAGGUUGUCUCCACACCGCGGGGACCGUGAUCACCCAUCUGAUGUCCUCUCCCUCCAGCACUGAUGAAGACUGGUCCUUCACCUCCUACAACAAACACACACCAACGGAAACAUGUGUUUCUAUUAAAACGUUAAAACAAAGCAACUAGAGCCAAACAGAUUCUUGAUUUAAUCCAACCUCCAUCUACUGUGUAUAUCGAUUAAAAUACAAGACGUUUCUUUGGCUGGUUUAAAGUCCUCUCAAAACCCGGUUUUAUAAAGCAGAUAUGUGAGCAUACACAUACUGUAUACAAACUGUGCACGAUGGAGACUUUGUUUCUUCAUUGAGCCGAGCUUUAAACUGACCUUCAGAGCAUGUUCCCUGAAGAAGCGCAGGGCGUGAGCGAACACCUCGAUGGCCCUGACCUUGCGUCCGCUGACCGCAUCCAGCUCUGUCUCCAUGGUGAGGUCCUGCAUCAAACACAGACACAACUGCUGCAACACUACGGCAAGAAGACACCCACUCCCUGAUACUUAGAGAAAAACUUAACAGCAGAUAAACCAUAUUUUUUUAAAGUUUUUUUACUUCUGAUUUUGCCGCUGUGAUGGCUAAGUUGGUUAAGUUACUUUUUUAUAUCUUUGUUUUAUAAUAUGUACAUGCAAAUUAAAAGCUUUUUGUCACUUU